rnacentral:misc_RNA from 1 species
UUGUUGUGAGAUCAGUGUUGGCGACCGGUGAAGAGUUAAUCCAUUUUGUAAGUCCCGCCGAACCCUAAAUAGUAGCCGUUGUCCGACUGGUUAAAUCCGUUCUGUCGUCACGCGUUUAAUUGGAAGGUCAUAGGUCGCUCAAAGGUUACCUGACGCGACCUUCCACAGGGUUUUGUUAGAUUCAGUAUAGCAGUGUAACGAAUAAUACUGAGCCUAAGUUUACUUAGACUGCUGCCUAGACAGAAUAUUGUCUAUAUAUUGAAUCAUUUAGGUUGAUUCAUGGUGUAGCUUGGAUCACGGUGUAGGUUACAUCACAGUCUAGGUUGAAUCAUGGUGUAGGUUGAAUCACGGUGUAGGUUACAUCACAGUCUAGGUUGAAUCACGGUGUAGGUUACAUCACUGUCUAGGUUGAAUCACGGUGUAGGUUACAUCACAGUCUAGGUUGAAUCACGGUGUAGGUUACAUCACAGUCUAGGUUGAAUCACGGUGUAGGUUGAAUCACGGUGUAGGUUACAUCACAGUCUAGGUUGAAUCACGGUGUAGGUUACAUCACAGUCUAGGUUGAAUCACGGUGUAGGUUACAUCACAGUCUAGGUUGAAUCACGGUGUAGGUUACAUCACAGUCUAGGUUGAAUCACGGUGUAGGUUACAUCACAGUCUAGGUUGAAUCACGGUGUAGGUUACAUCACACUCUAGGUUGAAGCACGGUGUAGGUUACAUCACAGUCUAGGUUGAAGCACGGUGUAGGUAACAUCACAGUCUAGGUUGAAUCAC